GUUUCAGCAGCCGCGGUAAUACGGAGGGUGCAAGCGUUAUCCGGAUUCACUGGGUUUAAAGGGUGCGUAGGUGGACUUAUAAGUCAGUGGUGAAAGCCCGGAGCUCAACUCCGGAACUGCCAUUGAUACUGUAGGUCUUGAGUACACUUGAGGUGGGCGGAAUACAUCAUGUAGUGGUGAAAUACUUAGAUAUGAUGUAGAACACCGAUUGCGAAGGCAGCUCACUAAAUUGUAACUGACACUGAGGCACGAAAGCGUGGGGAUCAAACAGGAUUAGAAACCCCCGUAGUCC
rnacentral:rRNA from 1 species